rnacentral:rRNA from 1 species
UACGGAGGGAGCUAGCGUUGUUCGGAAUUACUGGGCGUAAAGCGCACGUAGGCGGCGAUUCAAGUCAGAGGUGAAAGCCCGGGGCUCAACCCCGGAACUGCCUUUGAAACUAGAUUGCUAGAAUCCUGGAGAGGCGAGUGGAAUUCCGAGUGUAGAGGUGAAAUUCGUAGAUAUUCGGAAGAACACCAGUGGCAAAGGCGACUCGCUGGACAGGUAUUGACGCUGAGGUGCGAAAGCGUGGGGAGCAAACAGG